ACACAUGCAAGUCGAACGAUGAUGCCCAGCUUGCUGGGCGGAUUAGUGGCGAACGGGUGAGUAAUACGUGAGUAACCUGCCCUUGACUCUGGGAUAAGCCUGGGAAACUGGGUCUAAUACUGGAUACUACCUCUUGCCGCAUGGUGGGUGGUGGAAAGGGUUUUACUGGUUUUGGAUGGGCUCACGGCCUAUCAGCUUGUUGGUGGGGUAAUGGCUCACCAAGGCGACGACGGGUAGCCGGCCUGAGAGGGUGACCGGCCACACUGGGACUGAGACACGGCCCAGACUCCUACGGGAGGCAGCAGUGGGGAAUAUUGCACAAUGGGCGGAAGCCUGAUGCAGCGACGCCGCGUGAGGGAUGACGGCCUUCGGGUUGUAAACCUCUUUCAGUAGGGAAGAAGCGAGAGUGACGGUACCUGCAGAAGAAGCGCCGGCUAACUACGUGCCAGCAGCCGCGGUAAUACGUAGGGCGCAAGCGUUGUCCGGAAUUAUUGGGCGUAAAGAGCUCGUAGGCGGUUUGUCGCGUCUGCUGUGAAAGCCCGGGGCUCAACCCCGGGUCUGCAGUGGGUACGGGCAGACUAGAGUGCAGUAGGGGAGACUGGAAUUCCUGGUGUAGCGGUGAAAUGCGCAGAUAUCAGGAGGAACACCGAUGGCGAAGGCAGGUCUCUGGGCUGUUACUGACGCUGAGGAGCGAAAGCAUGGGGAGCGAACAGGAUUAGAUACCCUGGUAGUCCAUGCCGUAAACGUUGGGCACUAGGUGUGGGGGACAUUCCACGUUUUCCGCGCCGUAGCUAACGCAUUAAGUGCCCCGCCUGGGGAGUACGGCCGCAAGGCUAAAACUCAAAGGAAUUGACGGGGGCCCGCACAAGCGGCGGAGCAUGCGGAUUAAUUCGAUGCAACGCGAAGAACCUUACCAAGGCUUGACAUUCACCGGACCGCCCCAGAGAUGGGGUUUCCCUUCGGGGCUGGUGGACAGGUGGUGCAUGGUUGUCGUCAGCUCGUGUCGUGAGAUGUUGGGUUAAGUCCCGCAACGAGCGCAACCCUCGUUCUAUGUUGCCAGCACGUGAUGGUGGGGACUCAUAGGAGACUGCCGGGGUCAACUCGGAGGAAGGUGGGGAUGACGUCAAAUCAUCAUGCCCCUUAUGUCUUGGGCUUCACGCAUGCUACAAUGGCCGGUACAAAGGGUUGCGAUACUGUGAGGUGGAGCUAAUCCCAAAAAGCCGGUCUCAGUUCGGAUUGAGGUCUGCAACUCGACCUCAUGAAGUCGGAGUCGCUAGUAAUCGCAGAUCAGCAACGCUGCGGUGAAUACGUUCCCGGGCCUUGUACACACCGCCCGUCAAGUCACGAAAGUUGGUAACACCCGAAGCCGGUGGCCUAACCCCUUGUGGGAGGGAGCCGUCGAA
rnacentral:rRNA from 1 species